GUGGGGAAUCUUCCGCAAUGGACGAAAGUCUGACGGAGCAACGCCGCGUGAACGAAGAAGGUCUUCGGAUUGUAAAGUUCUGUGAUUCGGGACGAAAGGGUUUGUGGUGAAUAAUCAUAGACAUUGACGGUACCGAAAAAGCAAGCCACGGCUAACUACGUGCCAGCAGCCGCGGUAAUACGUAGGUGGCAAGCGUUGUCCGGAAUUAUUGGGCGUAAAGCGCGCGCAGGCGGUUUCUUAAGUCCAUCUUAAAAGCGUGGGGCUCAACCCCAUGAGGGGAUGGAAACUGGGAAGCUGGAGUAUCGGAGAGGAAAGUGGAAUUCCUAGUGUAGCGGUGAAAUGCGUAGAGAUUAGGAAGAACACCGGUGGCGAAGGCGACUUUCUAGACGAAAACUGACGCUGAGGCGCGAAAGCGUGGGGAGCAAACAGGA
rnacentral:rRNA from 1 species